UGUCUGGGAGCAGCCAAGGACAAG
rnacentral:ncRNA from 2 species